UUUUUUAUUACUCUGCAGAUUCAACUUCAAAGCAAGGCUAAUCAAGAUGAUCUGGAAAUGAUUUUAUGAAAGCUUCAUUGUGGACAAGUUUUGCAGAUUUUGCAUGGCAUCCAGGAUUGACACACAACACCAAGAGAUGGCUUCUAAAGAAACCAUGACUUUGCGAGAUAUUCUUACAGAAGCUGAUAUCAGAAAAGUAAAGCUGACAACCAAGCCAGGCUCAGUUGAAGAAUUAAUUAGUUGUUUAAAAAACACUCUGAGACUGGACUACAAUUUUACUUUACAUUUUCAAGAUCCCGAGUUUGAUAACGAACUUUGCAAUCUGACCGUUUUGUCAGAGCUCCCUCAGAAGCCAGCUGUGAAAAUCAUUCCGGUGAUUGAAUUGGUGCCACUCUCUUCAGGUGAAAUGGAGACAUCAAGUGAUAUGUUGAGUGAUGCUCCAAGUACUGCAGACACAGUAUUGACCUCGGAAUUACCCCAGGA